AAAACCUGAUUAUUAUAAAAUGCCUGCCUCAACUGAAGCGGCCUUUACUUCAGGGCAACACCGAGGUAGGACGUGGAUGGCUUUGUUUGACAACUUAUCCUACUGCAUCAUUGUGGUGUCUGCUCUAUAAGGCCAGAAGUGUUAUCAGUACACGUCUUCAGCCAUAGGUGGAAUGCGUGAUGGUGUCGGGUUGUCUUCUUCUAAAAGGCAUCUUCCGGCAAGCUUGUCGCACAUCACUAUAGACGGAGAUUUUUUCCUUACAGAUAGAUAGAACAGAAGCAUUGAAAAUGUCUCAACAUGACUGCAGAAUUGAGUGUUACAUUCUACUCGUACUGCAAGUUUUGCAGUUGGCUUGCAACCGGAGUGCUCGCCAGUCGUUCGAUCAGAACGAGCGAAUCAGGUCCUACUCUUCAUGAGCCUGUGACUAAGAAUGUUUGAUGAGGAACUCUUAUCCCGGCCUGCCUGCGCAUCAGCAGGUGAACAGCAUCACAAGAAUCCUUACCUAAGGGACCUGCUCAGGUUUUCCAUAACCCACAUUCCCCACACGGUAAGGCUGCAACUAAACUGUUGCUUUACUUACGCUUUACGUCCUCGGAGGCAUCUGCUGUCGGCACACAUUCUGCAAGAUCAUAGAUCCCCCACGCUAUGCCCUUGCCAGUUGAACAGCGCAAACAGCCAGUUGACCUGCGCAAAACCUCUUGCGGCGCAACUCCAAAUCGAUGACCACCUCCUUUCUCGAUGCCUCAACCCAACGAUACACAAACGCCGGCUUGUUGACCACACUGCCCAAACCAGACACAGCGAGACAGCAUGUGGUGCAUGUAGGGCCCAAGCUCUACGAAAAGCACCACUCCUUGCCUACACCUGACACCUUACGGCCUUGCAUCUAAGUUUGCACCUCGCACACUGUUAGUAUGAGGACGAAUGGCCGCGGGGCUCAACAGCCUUGGGUGCUGAUUGCAACGGCAAUCAAUUCGCGUCCGCCGUAACCAGCGUAUAUCAAACUGUCAAAAGAAGCCCAGCUGCUGUUAGACCAACGGCGGUUUCCAGUAUAAAAAAACAAUUAUGUGCAGCUCACUGGUUGCAACCGCUGAUACGUGAUUCAAAUGCUGUCGACUUCACCUAAAUUUCCCUAGGAACUCAUCUUCGACCCCGUCCACGACAAUCGAACAAAACCAAUUGAUUGACGACAUAGAAGCGGCCUUCAAUGAACACAGCAACCCCAGUCGACCAUGAAGCCAUGGCCGUGCCAAAUGCUGGGAGAACACUCACGGAACUAACACCCCACGCCGCGGGAACAACAACACAGAACCUGUUAAUCAAAGUGUAUACAGUGAAACGGGGCCAAACCUUCCCAAAGGAAGAUGCCGACCUAAUGUAACUCUCUCCAUCGCCCUUUUUCAGCACUCCGAAACCUACACAGGACAACGUAGGACCAUAUUACACUGCACUCCGCGCCUUCAUCCUGCGGUAGGACCGCAUCAAGUCCCAACUAAGCGCAUUCGAGCAACCAGCCACAUGCUUCAUCUCCCUCUCUCGUUAAUUUGCUCUUCCUAGAAACCGGCACGCACCGGGGGCAAAAGCUAAGUGCGGCAGCUGCAACGCGCAGGGGCUACAGCCUUCUCACGCGUUGGUGUAGUCGGGCCGGUCACUUUCCAGAAGGCUGCAAGCCAAUGAAACAGGGCAGGGCACGAUCAAAUUAAACUCGUCAUAACGGGUGUUCGGAUGAUCCGCAUCCAUAUCGCCUAAGGAUGCCGUAAGAAGACGACGCCAGCUUUAGUCUUGCUGAGAAUUCCCCAACCAGCAUAAUAUUACCUGCGCGAAUGCUUGACAAUCGCGCGCCCAAUCGCGUUGAUCCAAUCCUCUUUUUCCUUAUCGGUGUCGGCAAUGAAGAACAUGCUCUCCGCGUGUGUCGAGAUCUCAAAAGCAUUUGCCUUGUUGAUAGUGUCUUCCGCGCCUUUAAUGGAAAGGCACUUGUUCACCUGUCGCGGGACAACCCCAACCCAAAACCCUCGAUGAGGGAUGCCUGUGCAGAAGGACGCGACUCCAUCGCAAGCCGGAUGCUAAACGUGGUUCAAAAGGCCAUCAAACCAUGAUCGAAACAUCGAAUUUGCCAUGAGAGGGAGUAAAGCUGCCUUCAGGGUCAACCGGGAGGGUUGAGGGCACGCUUCCGGAAUGGAAGACCCUUAGCCUCCCGCAUGCCAGAG
rnacentral:lncRNA from 1 species